CAUGCCGGCUAGUUUUCCGUUAGCUUUAAUACAAGGAAAAGGGAACCUCAAUUGAGAAAUUUCCCCUACAAGAUUGGCCUAUGGACAAAUUUGUGGCACAUUUUCUUGAUUGAUGACUGAUGUGGAAGGGACCAGCUUUCUGAGUUUUGCUAAUCUGAGCUCUGCAGAGGGAUUCUUAGGGAAGACAAGUCCUGUGGCAUAGGUAUUAUAAAUCGUACCCUGCAAAGAUGGCAACCAAGGAACAGAGAUAGGUAUUGAUUCUUUCAGGGACAAACAGUGAGUCCUGAGGUGAUGACAAAUCAUGCUGUAAUUUGGCAGCUGCUUUUGUGUUCCUGAUUAAGCCGUGCUCUUUGGUCCUGACCCAUGCCACUCAGCUCCUUGCUGGAUUUCAGAGAUGGUGGUGAGCAGUAUGCAGCGGUUCUGAAGGUCAGAAGAUCUGAAAUUCCAAAACUGAAGAGAAGGUUUCUGUGACAGCUAGUAAAGGUGACUGGUCAACACCCUGGCUGUGUUGAUGUUAAAUGUGAAGAAUUAACAGAGGUGUCAAGGAUGGCUCCCUGACCCAGGAGAGUAUUAGCGCCAUCAAUAAGGAGGAUGGCUUCUGAGGACACCCCUGAUGCUGAAUGAAGAUAUUCGUGCACGUAUGUAUCCAUAUUGGAGCACUACACACAUACACACACACGGAAAAUAACUACUAUCACAACUGUAACUGUGCAUUUGUAGGACAUGGUAGGUUCUCCAGGUGGACAAAGUCAUCAUUCAACCCUUCAGCAGGUUACAGACUAUUUAAGCCUUAGUUUUCUUAUCUGUGAAAUGAGAGCUACCCAGCGGGUUGCUGGGAGUACUGAGUUUCUAAAGAGGCACCUGCUACCUCACCCUCUCUUCCUGCCAGUGUAGAUUCUGCUUUCUGAGAGAUGACCUUGCUUCUUGUCUCUGACCUCAACAUGGAAGAUUAAUAUAGAAAGCACUUACCUGCUGUGAGAAGCCCUUCACAACACGCCUUUGUUUGAGGUUGGUCUCCCCAUCCAAGUUGGCAGUUUCCAGGUGGCAGACCCC